rnacentral:rRNA from 1 species
AUGUCAUGUCUCUUGCUUCAGCUGCAUUUUCACUUGCGCUUGUAUCAUGGAGCUGUGACGUGCCGUCGUCGACCACAUCUGAAUAUUCCUUCACACUGGUACGGCCCGACCGCCUUGAGGAUCCAUCCUUUUUGGCCACCGAUAUUCCUGAUGAUGCCUUCUUACCACCCUUUUUAUCUCGCACAACAGAAGCUUGCUUGGGUGUCUUAUCUCUUAAACCUUCAGCAGAAUCUAUACUCAAAGCUUUUUUUUGAGCAACCUCUAUACUCAAAGCUUUGUCGAGAACACUUGCUUGUCUCGCACCUUUCUGCUUUUUUCCUUUCUGAACAGCACCUCCACCUUUUGCAUUGCUACGAACUUCUUGCACCUACUCUAAGCCAUCUUGCUUUCUGA